rnacentral:miRNA from 1 species
UGACCAGGUCCCGCCCCUCACUC